GACGAACGCUGGCGGCGUGCCUAAUACAUGCAAGUAGAACGCACAGUUUAUACCGUAGCUUGCUCCACCAUAGACUGUGAGUUGCGAACGGGUGAGUAACGCGUAGGUAACCUGCCUGGUAGCGGGGGAUAACUAUUGGAAACGAUAGCUAAUACCGCAUAAUAUUAAUUAUUGCAUGAUAAUUAAUUGAACGGUGCAAUUGCACCACUACCAGAUGGACUUGCGUUGUAUUAGCUAGUAGGUGAGGUAACGGCUCACCUAGGCGACGAUACAUAGCCGACCUGAGAGGGUGAUCGGCCACACUGGGACUGAGACACGGCCCAGACUCCUACGGGAGGCAGCAGUAGGGAAUCUUCGGCAAUGGACGAAAGUCUGACCGAGCAACGCCGCGUGAGUGAAGAAGGUUUUCGGAUCGUAAAGCUCUGUUGUAAGAGAAGAACGGGUGUGAGAGUGGAAAGUUCACACUGUGACGGUAUCUUACCAGAAAGGGACGGCUAACUACGUG
rnacentral:rRNA from 1 species